rnacentral:rRNA from 1 species
UACGUAGGGGGCAAGCGUUGUCCGGAAUUAUUGGGCGUAAAGCGCGUGUAGGCGGUCAUCUAAGUCUGGUGUGAAAUCCUGGGGCUCAACCCCAGAAGUGCACUGGAUACUGGACGACUAGAGGACGAGAGAGGAAAGUGGAAUUCCUGGUGUAGGGGUGAAAUCCGUAGAUAUCAGGAGGAACAUCAGUUGCGAAGGCGGCUUUCUGGCUCGUUUCUGACGCUGAGACGCGAAAGCGUGGGGAGCAAACAGG